rnacentral:misc_RNA from 1 species
UUUGGUAAUGCGGUGUAGCAGGAGACUAAUUGUCAUGUACCAAAGCUACAUGGUGGCAAAUUGAAGUAGGCAGUGGUACAGGAUGUCUUGUUCACUUUUACUUUUAUGUAGUGAUACACUUUAUGCUAUACACCUUUAUUCUUAUAGGUACUAGGUGAAUCAUCUGGCUUUUUGCAUAUAACAUGUAAUUGACACUGUUCUAUUGUCUAUUCUUGUUAAUCACUCUACCAUUCUUCAAGGAAAGAAAGCACAUCAAGAAUUCUCUGUAUUUGUUCUCCACUGUCUGUAAACAUACCUUGCAUGAGUCCCUUUUUCUGUUUGUUCCUUCUCCUAAUGAUACAGUAGCACUUAUUUUCCUUGAAACUUAAGUUUUCCUCAAUGUUCACAGCGGAUGGUUCAAAUGAGGAUGA